UACGGAGGGUGCAAGCGUUAUCCGGAUUCACUGGGUUUAAAGGGUGUGUAGGCGGGCUGUUAAGUCAGUGGUGAAAUCUCCGGGCUCAACCCGGAAACUGCCAUUGAUACUAUCAGUCUUGAAUCUUGUUGAGGUAGGCGGAAUAUAUCAUGUAGCGGUGAAAUGCUUAGAUAUGAUAUAGAACACCGAUUGCGAAGGCAGCUUACUAAACAAGCAUUGACGCUGAGGCACGAAAGCGUGGGGAUCAAACAGG
rnacentral:rRNA from 2 species